AUGAAAAAGUCCACCCCAAAAAAAGUGUUUUUAGUACUUGUCCAAAUAUUUGUUUAUUUUUUUUUUUUUUUUUUUUUUGCUCUAGUGGGUGGCAUCUGGGCUUUGCCAUUCUCUGUUUUCAGGGUCCACCACCUGGCUGACUUGUUCUUCCUAUCGACAUUGGCUCCUGGGCUGAAACCAGUCUCUGGCUCACAUUCACAUACCUCUUGACAUGUAACUUAUAAAAUUUCUUUAAGCAUGUGAUAUAAACUUCUCUCAAGCUCCUUAGGGAACAAAGCAACUUUGGAGAUUCUGCAAAGCUUGCCUGAGGCUAUUUACGUGAACUCUCAUUCACACUGUUAUUCUACUCUGUUAUCACAGUGACCCAGGAUUCAAGUCUCCCAGCCAUACUUCAACAAUUUCAAGGUUCAGCCUAAAAGGAGGGGCAACAACUGGUCACUCUUCAGAGGCUACAGGUGCCCCAGUUAUUGUCCCAUUCCCUCUGAAUCUUCUCUUCCCAUCUAGCGUUUGAAUCCUUAGUAACUUUUAGGUAGAAAAAUAACUAAAAAUGCAUCACGUGUUUAUCUCAACCCAGUGGUUUCUGAAAUAAACUCUAUGAUCUUAGUCAUCCAGCAUUUUGCACUUAGUAUGCAAUGUUGUAUUUUGAGUAUGACAAAUAAACACCUUCUUUUUCAAAAAGCCCAGCUGUGGCAAAUUUCGAGUGAUGACUUUCAAGAAUAUUGGCUCAGUCAAUGAUUUACAAAAGUCUAUUUAGCAGCUUUACUAUUUAUCAUAAAGUGGUAGUUUUGUAGUAUAUUUUAAAAUCUGACGUGCUGGCCUUUUCACACCAAAAACGUAUUUCUACAUGGUAAAGCUUCAAAUGUCAUUUAAACUGAUGUGAUUAAAAACUGAACAAAACAAAAACUACAGCUCUACUGACUUCUCUGUUUCAAUUGUCACUCCAGAAACUUCCUCCAAGUUUUAUACGCUUCCCUAAAUUUACUAACUUAAAUUGUUUGAUUUCUACUAACUUGAUACCUUUUCUAAAGCAAUGUAGUCCACUUAAUACCUCCUCUUCUAAUAUAAUUUUCUCGGAUUAAGAGAUUAAUACAACUAAAUAGCAAAGGAAGGGCAAUGGAUUUUACAAAGCACACAGAGGGAAAUAUCUUGGUAUACUUAAUAUUUCCAAAAUUAAUCAUUUUACAUAUAUUACAUUGCUGUGUUAUUAACACACACACACACACACACAAUUAUAGCCAUUAUAUCUUUUUGUCACAGCAUUCCUUUUGACAAGAUAAGAUUAAUCUCAACCCAUUUAGUUUUUAAUUUUGAGAAUGUAUAUUUGCUGUACUAUUUCUGUUACAGCUUUCUAUUUGCCUAACAUAUCUUUGUCUUCUUUGUUUUUUAAUUUGUCUCAAUUUGUUUUAGAUGUUUGUCUCACACAUCUUUAAGUGAUUCAUUUACAGUGUCACGUUCUUUAUAUAUUUUUUUAUUUUAGUUUCAUGGAUACAUGUGCAGGUUUGUUAUAUAAAUUGUGUGUCACGGGCGUUUGGUGUAAACCUUAUUUCAUAAUCCAGGUAAUAAGCAUAGUACCUGAUGGGUAGUUUCUACCCAUCCUUCUACCCACCCUCCUCCCACCCUUCACCCUCAAAUAAGCCCCAGUGUCUAUUGCUUCUUUCUUUGUGUCUAUGUGUACUCAAUAUUUAGCUCCCACUUACAAAUGAGAACAUACACUAUUUGGUUUUCUGUUUCUGCGUUAGUUCACUUAGGAUAAUGGCCUCCAGCUUCAUUCAUGUUGCUGCAAAGGACAUGAUCUUGUUCCUUUUUAUGACUGUGUAUUAUUCUGUGGUAUAUAUGUACCAUGUUUUCUUUAUCCAGUCUACUGUUGAUGAGCAUUUAGGUUGAUUCGAUGUCUUUGCUAUUGUGAAUAGUGCUGCAAUAAACACAUGUCUGCAUGUGUCUUUAUGAUGAAACAUUUACAUUCCUUUGACUGUAUACCCAAUAGUUAAUCCCAUUUGCCAAUUUUCUUGUUUAGAAAAUAUUUUCUUGAUGUUUUGUUU
ensembl:lncRNA